CUUCCUCCGUUUCACAAUGUAAGUCAUUCUAGCAUUUCCCACAUUCAAUAUAACAUCAAUAUGAAUGUGGGAAAUGCUAGAAUGAUUUACACUGUGAAACGGAGGAAGUA
rnacentral:misc_RNA from 1 species